GACGAACGCUGGCGGCGUGCCUAAUACAUGCAAGUAGAACGCUGAAGGAGGAGCUUGCUUCUCUGGAUGAGUUGCGAACGGGUGAGUAACGCGUAGGUAACCUGCCUGGUAGCGGGGGACAACUAUUGGAAACGAUAGCCAAUACCGCAUAAGAGUAGAUGUCGCAUGACAUUUGCUUAAAAGGUGCAAUUGCAUCACUACCAGAUGGACCUGCGUUGUAUUAGCUAGUUGGUGAGGUAACGGCUCACCAAGGCAACGAUACAUAGCCGACCUGAGAGGGUGAUCGGCCACACUGGGACUGAGACACGGCCCAGACUCCUACGGGAGGCAGCAGUAGGGAAUCUUCGGCAAUGGACGGAAGGCUGACCGAGCAACGCCGCGUGAGGGAAGAAGGGUUUCGGAUCGUAAAGCUCUGUUGUAAGAGAAGAACGAGUGUGAGAGUGGAAAGUUCACACUGUGACGGUAUCUUAACAGAAAGGGACGGCUAACUACGUG
rnacentral:rRNA from 1 species